GCCCCCAUAGUUCAAGUGGAUAGAACGGAGGCCUCCUAAGCUUCAAAUCCUGGUUCGACUCCGGGUGGGGGUA
rnacentral:tRNA from 1 species